rnacentral:rRNA from 1 species
AUACGGAGGAUCCAAGCGUUAUCCGGAUUUAUUGGGUUUAAAGGGUGCGUAGGCGGGGAUACAAGUCAGCGGUGAAAGUUUGCGGCUCAACCGUAAAAUUGCCGUUGAAACUGUAUCCCUUGAGUGUAGACGAGGUGCGUGGAAUUCGUAGUGUAGCGGUGAAAUGCUUAGAUAUUACGAAGAACUCCAAUUGCGUAGGCAGCGCACCAGGCUACAACUGACGCUGAGGCACGAAGGUGCGGGUAUCAAACAGGAUUAGAUACCCUGGUAGUCCGCACAGUAAACGAUGAAUACUAGCUGUUUGCGAUAUACUGUAAGUGGCACAGCGAAAGCGUUAAGUAUUCCACCUGGGGAGUACGCCGGCAACGGUGAA